UGCUCACACCGCUGCGGCGCUGAGGGCGGGGCGUGCGGGCGGCUCCGUGAGGGCGUGGGGCGGUCGAGUGUCGUGCGGGGAUUUCCGUUCUUUUUUUCUCCGCAGGGUUCGGGCCGGCGGAGCGGCAGGGCGAGGAAGAGGGAAAAGGAGCCCUGGGCGGGGNNNNNNNNNNNNNNNNNNNNNNNNNNNNNNNCGCGCUCGCGUGCUCGCUUCCCUUCUCGGUGCCGAGCGGGAGCCGCCAUGGCCGGGCAGCCCCUCCGCGCACCUCCGCUCCCCCCGGCCCCGAGGUCGGGAAACUCCGGACGGAGCUGCAUUGGAUGCGCUGGGUGGUGGCCGUCUGCUGGGCUCUUCUUUGGGACGGUGCUUUUUGAUAUCUGCUUCUCUUUUUCUUUUCUUCGAUGAGAAGCGCUUUCGGGAUCCGCGCUGGGUGCGGUCCGGCCGUCCUCAGCCCUCGGGAGGAGGCGGUCGCGGUGGGAAAGCAGCUGGCAGCCGGGAGCAGCGGGAUGGUCCCAUAAUGACAGUUCCCUUGAGAGGCAGCCAGCUUCUGCAGAAAACUUGUUCCAGCACUGAGCGCUGCAGAUACCUGAAGUCUGAAAAGAGAAGGAAAAAAGCCAAUUUCUCACUGUCUAGCCAAGUUUGUUUAUGAGAUUGGAAAUAACUGUGAUCUCAAGCAUCCGUCUGCAUGCAGAGGGUUUUCACAGCAGAUAUUCAGCUUUGGUAAACGGAUUUGCGGAUUUGCAUGGGGUAAAAAUGGAGGCAGAAAUAAACUUCUGAAACUGAGCCUCA
rnacentral:lncRNA from 1 species